CCUCAAAUCAGGUAGACUACCCGCUGAACUUAAGCAUAUCAAU
rnacentral:rRNA from 1 species